UGAGGAAUAUUGGUCAAUGGGCGCAAGCCUGAACCAGCCAUCCCGCGUGCAGGAUGACGGCCCUAUGGGUUGUAAACUGCUUUUAUACAGGAAGAAAAAUCUCUACGUGUAGGGACUUGCCGGUACUGUAUGAAUAAGCAUCGGCUAACUCCGUGCCAGCAGCCGCGGUAAUACGGAGGAUGCAAGCGUUAGCCGGAUUCAUUGGGUUUAAAGGGUGAGUAGGCGGCUUUUUAAGUCAGUGGUUAAAUCCGGUCGCUCAACGAUAGAAUUGCCAUUGAUACUGAAAAGCUUGAGUUCAGUUGAGGUAAGCGGAAUGGGUAGUGUAGCGGUGAAAUGCUUAGAUAUUACACAGAACACCGAUUGCGAAGGCAGCUUACUAAACUGACACUGACGCUGAUGCACGAAAGCGUGGGGAUCGAACA
rnacentral:rRNA from 1 species